UUAAGUAAACCAUCAGAUCAGACCAUCUCUAUAUCUUAAUUUCUAGGUUUUUCCUUCGCAAGAAGCAACAAAUAGUAAUGGCUCAAAUUCAUAAGCUUCAAGGUGAACUUAUACUUGAGAGUCAUGCUGAUAAGUUAUACACCAUGAUGACUCGUGAUGCACCUAAUCUUCCAAAAUACGUUCCAGAGUCAUGCUGAUAAGUGUCAGGUUCUCCCGGAAGAUGGUGAAAUUCGAUUGGGUAGUAUUUUUGUUUGGGACUACGUAUUAGGCACGUCUUCUGUCAGGACGAAGGACAGGAUAACUGCAGUGAACCAUAAAAAUAUGUCAAUAACUUACACAGUCAUUGAAGGACACCUUGCAGUCGAUUACUCAAGUUUUGAUAUCACACUCGAUGUUACUCCGAUCCAGGGGUAGGGGGUAAUAAAAGCAAGGUGAACUGGUCAAUCAAGUAUGAGAAAGAGAAUGAACUCCUGAUAAAAAACUAUAUAAACCAGAGUUCAUUCUAGAAAUGAACUCCUGAUAAAAACCUAUAUAAACUAGAGUUCAUUUGUAAAAAUGAACAACAUCAUCAUCAUCAUCUUCCUCUUCUUCGACGUCUUCAAAAGCAGAAGCAACAUCGUCGUCUUCAAACACCACCAGCAACACCAUCUUCCAUCGUCUUCAAACACCAACAGCAACAUCAUCUUCCAUCAUCGUCGUCUUCAAAAACCGAGUUCGUUUUCAUCAUCGUUAUCGUGUUCAUCAUCUUAACCAGCAGCAACAACAACAACAACAACAGAUCUUGUAAGUAUUCACCAUCAUCAUCUUCAUCAUACAGCAGCAGAAACAAAGAAAGAAAAAACAUAACGAGUUCAUCUUCAAUAGCAAAACAACAAGAUCUAUGUUUCUUGUUUACAUCAUCUUCAAAUGUUUUUUGUUUCACAUCAUCUAUGUAAAUUAAAAACCCUAGAAAAAUACAUAUCUUCAUUGAUUCUA